GUCUUCGCCUCCGUCGGAGCCAAGCCCGCGAGCCCCGUCGCCGCCGGUCUUCACCCCCGUGAUCUCGCCGUCGAGCUCCCCAACCACUCCUCUCCUCUUUGCUCCACUGAGAAGUUUUCGGCACUAAACAAUCUCCAGGUAAAUAUUAUUCUUGAUGUUUGAUCCAAUGGAAACUGAAGAGGGUUGCUCCCAUGUUGUUGAAGAACAAAUCUCUCAGUUAGAUAACUUAAUUGUGCCAAUUAUUCAUGAGCACUUAAAACCAAAAAUAGGAAUGACUUUCGACAAAUUAGAGGACGCUGAAAAAUUCUACAGAAAUUACGGAAAGGCUGGAGGUUUUGAUAUUCGUAAUAGCACAACAAAUUAUGGGAAGGAUAGAGAGUUAAUUUCUAAAAGUUAUGUUUGUUCGAAAGAAGGAGUGUUAAAGAGCAAAUCGAUGGAAAUUCGACGAUGUGGUACAAUUAGAACAAAUUGUAAGGCCUUGAUUCGCUUUAAAUUAGACAAGAACAUUGGCAUAUGGAGUGUCUACAAGUUCGUGGAAGAACAUAAUCAUACAAUUACUUCACCGAGUAGAACUCAUUUUCUAAGGGGAAACCGUGAGGUAACAAGUGCGAAGAAGACUUUGAUGAAGCAGUUUGGAGAGGUGAACAUUCCAACAAACAAGCAAAUGACCUUCUUUGAAAAUUCUAGCGGAGGUUUUCAUAGAAUUGGAUGCAUUGAGACCGAUGUGAGAAAUUAUGAAAGAGAUUUGAGAGAGGAGAGGCGCGGUCAUGAUGCACAAAUGAUGUUGGAUCAUUUCAAGUCGGAACAAGAGAAGAAUCCUUCAUUUUAUUAUGUUUAUGAAGUUGAUGAAGAGAAGCGCUUAACUCAUUGUUUUUGGGUGGAUGGCAUUGCUCGAAUGAAUUAUCAACACUUUGGCGAUGUUGUCUCCUUCGAUGCCACGCAUAACACAAAUCAAUAUGGCUUGGUAUUUGUGCCGUUUGUAGGCAUAAAUCACCAUUGGCAAAGUGUUUUUUUAGGAUGUGGCUUGAUCCCAAACGAAGAGGCGAAGUCUUUCGUAUGGUUGUUUAACAAAUGGAUUGAAGCAAUGGGUCAUCCUCCUUCGGGUAUGAUUACAGAUCAAUGUCUUGGCAUAUGUAAGGCAAUUGAAACAGUUUUUCCAGAAAUUCGGCACAGGUUUUGCAUUUGGCAUAUCUUGGACAAAGUUCCGGAGAAGUUGGGUAAAUGGGCUUAUAGAAUGGAAUUUAUGAAAUCUUUCAAAGAAAAUAUUUGGGACUCCGAGACUGCUAGCUCUUUUGAAGAGAAUUAGGUUUUAAUUCUUAAGAAAAAUGGAUUGGAAACGCAUGAUUGGCUAAAAGAUAUCUAUAAAAUUCGUGAAAAAUGGGCUCCGGUUUAUCAUAAACAACACUUUUGGGCUGGAAUGUCUAGCAGUCAAAGAAGUGAAGGGAUGAAUGCGUUGCUAAAAAUGCAUGUAUCAAGGAAAAAUUCACUUCAUGAUUUUGUGAUAAUCUUUCAGAGGGUCUUGGCGAGACAAAGAGAUGUGGAGCUUAAAGAAGAUCAUUGCACAGUGGAGAAAAAGCCAAAAUUGAAGACUUUGUGGUCAAUAGAAAAACAAAUAGCCCAAAUCUACACGAAAAAAAUCUUUUAUAUUUUUCAAGACGAGCUUCAACCUAGCUUAAUAAAUAACAUUGAGCUGGUAAAAGAAAAUGAAAGAGAAAGUACUUUCCAAUUGAAUUUUUGUGGUCAUGAUGAAAGAUUGAGACAUAUUAUAUAUUGCAAAACAACUAAAAUGGUCCGUUGUUCGUGUCUCAUGUUUGAAUUCAAGGGCAUUCCAUGCCGACAUAUCUUGGCAUAUCUUAAAAUCACCAAUCAUGGUGAGUUACCGGAGCAAUAUAUUCUAAGAAGAUGGUGCCGAAAUGUCAAAAAAGGGUUGUUCUUAGAGAUGGUAAUAUCAUUGGAGAUAAUGCCACAAUUAAUUUUGCUUCUCGUUUUAGUGAACUAAAUUGCUUAGCUAAUGAAAUGAUCGAAGAGGGGCUAUCUUCUAAUGACGCAUAUGAAUUAAUGCGUGAAAUGAUGAUGGAUGCUAUUAAUAAGGUGCAACGUUUGAAACUCGUCACUGAUGAAGAAAUUGGACAAGAUGUGGAAGCACAUUAUAUGAAUGCGGAGUGUUCUCCAAAUAUGGUUCAUGAACCAAGUCAAGGAAGAACAAAAGGAAGGCCUAAAGGGAAGAGGUUAAAGCCAUCGAGAGAGAUCCGCAAAUGCCGGCCUAGGAAAUGCAAAUUAUGUGGAAAGAGAGGACAAAAUCAUGAUAGCAGAAAUUGCCCUCUAAAGUUGUCAAGUGAUUCAAUGGAACAAGAUAAUAUUGAUGAAGCCAGUGAUGAUUUAGAAGAUUCCUGUGAGGAAGAUGAAGUUCUCACUAUUGCAUGAAGUUUGAUCAAGGUUGGUAGAGCAAAUCAUAACACUGUUGAUUGUCCUUCAGUAUCUGAUCCAAUGUUUUAAAGACGUUCAGUAUCUGAUCCAAUGUUUUGAGCUUGUAUAAUUAGACAAAAAAGGAGUGUUAAUGAGAUGGAUUUUGUCCUUCAGUCACCUGCUUUUUUCAUUUUAUUAUUAUUUUUUUCUUUGCUGCUUAUUUGGCUCCUAAUGUGUAGAUGUAGCAAGUAAAGCAACUGAUGAAUUAUGAGAAAUGUAGCCACGAAUGAUUUCCCCCUUGUUUACGAGAAAUUUAUGCA